AACGAACGCUGGCGGCAUGCCUAACACAUGCAAGUCGAACGAGACCUUCGUGUCUAUUUGCGCACGUGGGCUUAACGCGUGGUAACCUGCCCGUAGGUUCGGAAUAACUCCCCUUAAGGUAUGCUAAGACCGGAGAAGCUCUUCGGGCCAAAGAUCUAUCGCGGUUGGGUGGGCCCUCGUUGGCUUAGCUGGUUGGUAGGGUACAAGCCUACCAAGGCCACGAUCCAUAGCUGGUCUGAUAGGAUGACAAUCUACAAUGGGACUGAGACACGGACCAGAAUCCUACGGGAGGGAGCAGUGGGGAAUAUUGGACAAUGGGGGAAAGCCUGACAAAGCAAUGCCGCGUGAGUGAUGAAGGCGUUAGGGUUGUAAAGCCCUUUUACCCGGGAUGAUAAUGACAGUACCGGGAGAAUAAGCACCGGCUAACUACGUG
rnacentral:rRNA from 1 species